rnacentral:rRNA from 1 species
AGAGUUUGAUCAUGGCUCAGAACGUACGCUGGCGGCACGCCUAACACAUGCAAGUCGAACGAAGUAGCAAUACUUAGUGGCAGACGGGUGAGUAACAUGUGGGUAUCUGCCCUUUGGCCUGGAAUAACACGAGGAAACUUGUGCUAAUACUGGAUAAGUCUUUACGGAGAAAGCUUUAUGCACCAUUGGAUGAGCCCGCACUUGAUUAGUUUGUUGGUGGGGUAAUGGCCUACCAAGACUUUGAUCAAUAGCUGAUUUGAGAGGAUGAUCAGCCACAUUGGGACUGAGACACGGCCCAAACUCCUACGGGAGGCAGCAGUGGGGAAUCUUGCACAAUGGAGGAAACUCUGAUGCAGCGAUGCCGCGUGAGUGAAGAAGGCCCUUGGGUUGUAAAGCUCUUUCGUCGGGGAAGAAAAUGACUGUACCCGAAUAAGAAGGUCCGGCUAACUUCGUGCCAGCAGCCGCGGUAAUACGAAGGGACCUAGCGUAGUUCGGAAUUACUGGGCUUAAAGAGUUCGUAGGUGGUUGAAAAAGUUGGUGGUGAAAUCCCAGAGCUUAACUCUGGAACUGCCAUCAAAACUUUUCAGCUAGAGUUUGAUAGAGGAAAGCAGAAUUUCUAGUGUAGAGGUGAAAUUCGUAGAUAUUAGAAAGAAUACCAAUUGCGAAGGCAGCUUUCUGGAUCAUUACUGACGCUGAGGAACGAAAGCAUGGGUAGCGAAGAGGAUUAGAUACCCUCGUAGUCCAUGCCGUAAAAGAUGUGUGUUAGACGUUGGAAAUUUAUUUUCAGUGUCGCAGCGAAAGCGAUAAACACACCGCCUGGGGAGUACGACCGCAAGGUUAAAACUCAAAUGAAUUGACGGGGACCCGCACAAGUAGUGGAGCAUGUGGUUUAAUUCGAAGAUACGCGCAGAACCUUACCAACACUUGACAUGUUCGUCGCAACUUUAAGAGAUUAAAGUUUUCGGUUCGGCCGGACGAAACACAGGUGCUGCAUGGCUGUCGUCAGCUCGUGUCGUGAGAUGUUGGGUUAAGUCCCGCAACGAGCGCAACCCUCACUUUUAGUUGCCAUCAUUAAGUUGGGCACUCUGAAAGAACUGCCAGUGAUAAGCUGGAGGAAGGUGGGGAUGACGUCAAGUCCUCAUGGCCCUUACGUGUUGGGCUACACACGUGCUACAAUGGUAUCUACAACAGGAAGCGAAACAGCGAUGUUAAGCAAAUCCUUAAAAGAUACCUCAGUUCGGAUUGCACUCUGCAACUCGAGUGCAUGAAGCUGGAAUUACUAGUAAUCGUGGAUCAGCGUGCCACGGUGAAUGCGUUCCCGGGUCUUGUACACACCGCCCGUCACACCAUGGGAGUUGGUUCUACCUUAAGGCAAGGUUUAAUACCCUUGACCACGGUAUAGUCAGCGACUGGGGUGAAGUCGUAACAAGGUAGCCGUAGGGGAACCUGCGGCUG